AGUAACUCAAGGCUCAGAUAUGCUCAUCCUGCUGUUGUUUAUCUGGAAGAAGCUAUCCAGUCUGAGAAGAAACCUUGCAUUUCCAAAACUGUUUAAUCCAUGUUUGUUGCCACAAGUGAAAUAUAAAACAAUAGGCUUAGGCUACCAACAACAUAAUUACCCUUGCAACAAAUAGUGCCAGCCCUUUCUUGAACUAUCCUUGCUGCCUGAAGUCCCUGAUGGACCACAAACAAGAGCAGGGGAAGAAGCAGAGCAGCAGAUGACAUCCAUCCAUCAGGGUCAAAAGCAUUACAAAAGAAAUAGAUCUUGUGCAGGACUAAAAUUCAGCUCCGGUGAGACAGUUUUCCCCAUGGGACAAAGCACUGCUAUAUUUCAUCCUUCACUAGAUGCACUCUGCCUACAAAACCAAGUUGAAGUGCACAUGCAGGAUGUUCCCACCAGGAUUCUCUUUGUGAGCUAUAGGACCACGAGACUGGAGGAAGAAACGUGCCAAAAGCAAUGGAUGUGCUCAAGUUUAUACAUAAACAAGGAACUAUUCCAAACCUAGGAUCUUGGGCUGCAGAAACCCAGCACUGAACAAAUUUCAGACUCAGGCUGUCAGUUCUGGAUUAUGUUUAAGGAUGUCUACAUGUACAUGAAUCCUACACUGUUACAAUUCCAGAAAUAUAGUUGAAUGUUUAAUAUGCAAAACUCUUGACAUAGUACGGAAAUAACUUGCAUGUCAGAUUUUCUUUUUCCCCACCAGUGGCAUAGAGGCCUUCUUCACUGACAAGCCUAUUUUACACAAAAUUCAAAGAGCAAACAAUGAAACACUUGCGGAAAUACCUGAUUGAUGGAGAUGAUUUUGCGAGGUUCUGUUCAUGCCCACUUCCAGUGUAGAGAUUUUGAAAACCUUGAAAACACUCUUGUUUGACCUAAUGGUAUUGAUAUGCUAGCAUGGAAAAAAAACUAUACCUAAGUAGCAGUAUGUUCAUUUCACUGUACUUUUAUGUUGUACAUUAGAAUAACAUAGAAUGGCUUGAUUUGGAAGAGAUCUUACAAAUCAUCUAGUUUAAACUUCCUGAUAUGGACAGAACUGCCACCCACCAGAUCAGAUUGCCCAGGUCACCAUCCAACCUGGACUUGAACACCUGCAAGGAUAGGGCAUCCGUAACUUCCCUGGGUGAUCAAUUCCAGUGCUUAACCACCCUCUGAGUAAACAACUUCCUACUAAAAACUAACUUAAAUUUCACUUCUUUUAGCUUAAAACCAUUCUUCCCUGACCUGUCACUAUUAGACUAAUUAAAAAGUUGGUCUCCCUCCUGUUUGUAAGCUCACUUCAAGUACUGGAAAGCCAUAAUGAGAUUGCUGUGGAGCCUUCUCUUCUCUAGGUUAAGCAAGCUCAGUUCCCCCAACCAACUGGUUCCCACCCCCCAACUGGAGAAGUGCUCCAGCCCUCUGAUCAUCUUCAUGACCAUCCUCUGGACCCACUCCAAAAUUCCCAUGCCUUCCAUGUACUGGAGGCCCAGGCCUGGAUGCAAAACUCCGGAUGGGGCCUCUUUAGGGCAGAGUAGUGGAGGACAGUCACCUCCCACACCCUGCUGGCCACCCCUCUUUUGAUGCAGCUGAGGACACAGUACAUACUGCUAGCUUGCACCAAGUUUUUCAUCCAUCAGAACCCCCAAGUUCUUCUUUGCAGGGCUGCUGUCAAAUUCUUCUCCCAGUCUGUAUGUAUAUUUGGGAUUGUUCUCACCCCAGUUUAGCACUUUGCACUUGGCAUUGUUGAAACUCACUUUAUUCACAUGUGCCCACUUCUCAACUUUGUUCAGGUCCCUUUUGAUGUCAUUCCUUCCAUUUGUCAUGCCAACUGCACCACUCCGGGUAAUCUGCAAACUUGCUGAGUGUGCACUUCAUCCCACUGUCAAAGUCAUUGAUAGAGAUGUUGAGGAGCACAAGUCCCAUAACAGACCAAUGGGGAUAUCACUGUGGAAGGCUGCCAGAUUGGUCAGGCAUAAUUUAUCCUUUGUGAAGUUGUGCUGGCUUAUCAGAUCACCUCCUUGUCAAGAGGAGAAAGAAAUUCAAGGAUCAGUUCCUGAGAUACUACUGAUAAGGGUGGAAAGCUUUGUGGAGUCGAAGAAACAAAGUCAGAGCACCACUUGCUUAGGUGAUUCAAAGGACAUUAUGUGUCCCAAUCAGGAAUUUCAAUUUCACUGAAAAUAUUUCUUCCUUAAAAAAAACCUAAAGAUUCUUUUUCAUCCUACAGUUCAAUAUAUUUAAUUUUGAUCCUAUCUUCACAGGAGCUUCACUUUCUCUUUUUUCUCAUUUUGUUGGUAUAAACAAAAAACGACUUGAUUAUAUUUAAUACAGAUAUAUUUUUAAUAAUACUUAUGCUUCAUUUUUAUUUCUAGAUUUCUACUUUUAUUAAUGUUUUAAUUUCUGUUGUGAGGUGGAAUUAAGCUUGACUUCUAUAAUUUCUUACUCUUUCCACUACUUUCUUGACUCCAUGAGAUAGAUUUGUUGCUGAUAAGUCCCUAUUUCUAUUCCAUUAAACUCUUAGUUUGUU
ensembl:lncRNA